GUCGAGCUUAGUAACGUGGGCUUGUGAUCCAAGUGGAGACAAUAAAGUGAUGGAACGUUGGGUUGAUCUCAUUGGGCUGGGUUCGGGUUGUACUAUAAUUGGUUCGCCCAUUCUAAGUUGGGAGUUGAGGCAUGGGGCUUGAGCGAAGGUUCGGGUCCCUUGCCUUCUAGAGCGGAGGAGCCUGCGUGAGGCUGGUUUUACAGAGCCAGCCAGCGUCCACCUCCCUCUCUUGACGGUGGAUGGAUUACGAGCCAUGGUCUGCCGAGCCCACUACGACCUGAUAAGCCAAUUCCAAUUGGACCAUAAUUUUU
rfam:Arabis alpina cultivar Pajares chromosome 8, whole genome shotgun sequence.